CCUGAUAAGCGAGUAGCGCGGUGGUCCCACCUGACCCCAUGCCGAACUCAGAAGUGAAACGCCGUAGCGCCGAUGGUAGUGUGGGGUCUCCCCAUGCGAGAGUAGGGAACUGCCAGGC
rnacentral:rRNA from 1 species